GACGAACGCUGGCGGCGUGCUUAACACAUGCAAGUCGAACGGUGAAGCGCUUUCCUUUUUGGUUGGUGUGGAUGAGUGGCGAACGGGUGAGUAACACGUGAGUAACCUGCCCCCUUCUUCUGGAUAACCGCAUGAAAGUGUGGCUAAUACGGGAUAUUCUGCGCCUGCUGCAUGGUGGGUGUGGGAAAGAUUGUGCCUUUGGGUGUUUUCGGUGGGGGAUGGGCUCGCGGCCUAUCAGCUUGUUGGUGGGGUGAUGGCCUACCAAGGCGGUGACGGGUAGCCGGCCUGAGAGGGUGGACGGUCACACUGGGACUGGGACACGGCCCAGACUCCUACGGGAGGCAGCAGUGGGGAAUAUUGCACAAUGGGCGCAAGCCUGAUGCAGCGACGCCGCGUGAGGGAGGGAGGCCUUCGGGUUGUGAACCUCUUUCGCCAGUGAAGCAGGCCUGCUCCGUGUGGGUGGGUUGACGGUAGCUGGAUAAGAAGCGCCGGCUAACUACGUG
rnacentral:rRNA from 1 species